UCUACCCUAUUAUGUUUCUUGCAGCUUCAUUGGCUGUAGGUUUAAUCCUGUGUAUGCAUAUAGCAUGUCACAUUGGUAAGACUGUGUUUUUGAACAGUCAACUGUGAAAUUAGCUAUGUAAAUUCAGCACUUACCACAUGACUAUAUUUACAUUCAGUUAAUAUUUUAUAUUGAUACAAUCAUUUAUAUGAAUCUAAAAGAAUUCUUAUCGAGCAUUUGCUGGCAACUCUUCCAAGCCUUUUUAAAAAAAUAAGUCAUUUAAUUUUCAUUAUAACCGUAUUAGAUAGCUACUAACCCUAUUAGAUAGCUACUAUUAUUAUCUUCAACUUACAUUUGAAGAAACUGAGGCAUAUGAGAUUAACUUUCCCAUGGUCACUCAGGGUUUUGAUCUCUAUGACUGAACUCCAGAACUCAUGUUCUUAACCACUAUGAUAAUCUCCCUGUGUCACCAUAACCAUGAAUGUUUCCUAAUUCAUAAUUUAUUUAGUUUGUCAGACAGAAGUACUGAAUUGAUUUAAUAUUAGUUCAUUUAUGUAUACAGGAUUCCUAUAAAAUAAUUCUUUCAACUAUAUUAAAGAUUGCCCUUACAAAUGUUUUGAACAAAACCUACCAUGUUGGCCCAGUACCUUGUGUAGACACACAUUUAAGAGAUUUUUGAUACCUACUUUCCCCCAUCAUUCAUUGCCCUUACUAUACUACCUUUCCCUAAGAUAGGAAAAAACAUAAAGAGACCCAAGAAAUAAAAAUGAUCUAUCAUUCAUUGUUCUAUUAUUAUUCUUGGUAGUCUUGCAACACAUUAUGCAAUUUCUAGGGAAAAUAGUUUACUGCAUUUUGUUGGUAACAAGUCAAGUAAACAUAAAUUUGAGUCCAAGUUAAGUAGUUAUGCCUUUUGAAGAUUUUAUAUCUGGUGGUCUGCUCAGUGUCACCAGGUUUCCACGGCAAUAUAGCUGUAACAUUCCUUCUGAGAGAGCUUGCAUCAGGCACACUGGAUCGGAUUUAUGUCAUGGACCCCCACAGGGUAUUAAUCAUUCUUUGAGGUCAUUUUCAGUUACGAAAGUAAGUGAAUUUGGAAAAAAAAUGGCAUGAACGAACUUUAAACCAGGUCCCAUGGCUAGCUUCAGGUGGUGGAAAAACAAAUGUUGAAGAUUCACAAAACAAAUUUCUUGGCAGAGUGAGUAUGAAGAUUGAGAAUCAGAUGGGGUAGUUACCAUUCAUUAGCACACUUACAAACUGUCUGUGUUACGAAAACCAGGGCACACUUGGAGGAAAAUAAACAAAUUUAUCAAGCUGGUUUCAAUUUUCUGAAGUACAAUGUUGAAAGGUUUCCACUUGGUCUGUGUGAAAUUCUGAGAAGAUAAUUUAGACAUGGCUAUAAUGAUUUGUCACUUCUGUCAGGUCUUAGAAAAAAGUGUUAAGAGCCUGGUACACUUUUCUGAUUGAGGACUGGAACAGUUUGCAUACACCAUUGUUCCAACAGCAUGUGCUCACUUUGUGACUCUGUUUUACAUCUUGGAAAUUCUCGCAAUAUUUCAAACUUUUUAUUAUGUAUCUGUUAUGGUGAUCUCUGAUCAGGGUCUUUGAUGUUACCAGUAGAAUUAUUUUGGGGAAUCAUGAACUGUACCCAUGUAAGACAGCAAACUUAAUAGAUAAUUUUGGUGUGUGUUCUGACUGUUCCACUACCCAUUCAUUUCACCAUCUCUCUCUCUCUCUCUCUUUCCUCAGGCCUUCCUAUUCCCUGAGACAUGAUAAUACUGACAUUAAGCCAAAUAAUGAAACUACAAUGGCUUCUAAAUGUUCAAGUGAAAGGAAGAAUUGUGUAUCUCUCAUUACUUUCAGUAAAAAGGUAGAAAUAAUUAAACUUAGUGAGGAAGGUAUGCAAAACCUAAGACAGGCCAAAAAUUAAGCCUCUCUCACCAUACAGCCAAGUCGUAAAUGCAAAGGAAAAGUUAUUGAAGAAAAAAGUGUUAAUCUAUAAGAAAGAAAAGCAGACUUAUUGCUGCUUUGGAGAAGCAGCUGAUAUGGAGAAAGUUUUAGUGGCCUGAAUAGAAGAUGAAAUGAGCCACAACAUCCCCUUAUGCCAAAACCUAAUCCAGAGGAGACCCAACCUCUCUUUGAUUCAAUAAAGGCUGAGAGAGGUAAGGGAAACUGUAGAAGAAAAGCCUGAAGCUAGCUGAGGUUGGUUCUUGAGAUUUAAGGAAAGAAGUUGUUUCCGUAACAAAAGUACAAGGUGAAGCAGCAAGUGCUAAUGGGAAAGCUGUAGCAAGUUAUCCAAGAAGAUCUAGCUAAAAUAAUUGAUGAAGGUAGACUAAACAGAUUUUCAAUGUAGAUAAAAUAGCCUUCUACUUGAAGAAGAUACUAUCUAUGAUUUUCACAGUUAGAGAAGAGAAGUAAAUGCCUGGCUUCAAAGCUUCAAAUAACAGGCUGACUCUCUUGUUAGGAGCUAACGCAGCUGGUGAAUUAAGUUAAAGUCAAUGUUCAUUUGUCAUUCCCCAAAUCCUAGAGUCCUUAAGAAUUAUGCUAAAUCUACUGUGCCUGUGACCUAUAAAUAAACAACAAAGCCUAGAUGAAAACAUAUCUGGUUAUAACGUGAUUUACUGAACAUUUAAAGCCAACUGUUGUGACCUACUACUCAGAAAAAGAAAAAAGAUUUCUUUUAAAAUGUUACUGUUCAUUGACACCGUAUCUAGUCACUCAAAAACUCUGAUAGAGAUUUACAAGGAUAUUAAUGUUUUCAUGCUUGCCAACACAACAUCCAUUUAACAAGCCAUAGAUCAAGGAGUAAUUUUGACUUCCAAGCCUUAUUAAUUUAACAAAUAUAUUUUAUAAGCCUGUACCUGCCAUAGAUAAUGAUUUCUUUGAUGGAUCUGGGCCUAGUAAAUUAAAAACAUUCUAGAAAGGAUUUACCAUUCUAGGUACCAUUAAGAAUAUUCAUGAUUAAUGGGAGGAGACAAAGAUACCAACAUUAAUAGGAAUUUGGAAGAAGUUGAUUCCAGCCCUCAUGGAUAACUUGAGGGGUUCAAGACUUCAGUGGAGGAAAUCAAUGGAGAUGUGACAGAAAUAGCCAAGAGAACAAGAAUUAGAAAUAAAUCUUGAAGAUGUGACUUAUUUGCUGCAAUCUCAUGAUAAAACUUGACUGGAAAUUAAAGAAAAUGGUUUCUUGAGAUUGAAACUACUGGUGAAGAUGCCGUGAACACUGUUGAAAUGACAACAAAGGAUUUAGAAUAUUACAUAAACUUAGUUGAUAAAGCAGCAGCAAGAUUUGAGAGUAUUGACUCCAAUUUUGAAGCCCUAGUAUGGGUCAAAUGCUAUCAAACAGCAUUGCAUACUAUAAAAAUAUUUCAUAAAAGGAAGAGUUCAUCAAUGCAGCAAACUUUAUUGUUCUCUUAUUUUAAGAAAUUACCACAGCCUCCCAACAUUCAGCAACCCUGAUUGGGAAGAAGCCAUCAACAUCAAGGCAAGAUUCUCUACCAGCAAAAAGUUUACAACUCACUGAAGGCUCAUAUGACCAUUAGCACUUUUUUAGUAAUAGAAUAUUUUUAAAUUAAGGAUUGUACAUUACUUUUUUAGACAUAAUGUUAUUGCACACUUAAAGAGUACAAGAUAGUGUAAAUGUAACUUUUAAAUGCAUUGGGAAACAAAAAUUUGUGUGACUUGCUUUAUUGCAAUAUUUGCUUUAUUGUGGUGAUCUGGAACCACUCACUCUCAGUAUCUGUGAGGUGUGCUUGUAUUUUCAGGAUUUUAUCUUUGUAGAAGUCAAAACAACUAGCUAUGGUACAUAUUUGGUGACUAGUUCUUAACUAGCUAAGUAUUUGGAAAAUGAGUGCUGACAUGUAGUCAGAAGCUUUUCAUUAAGUGCCUUCAAACAAGGGACUUUGUAUCUCCACUGAAUAACUUAGACACCUGAACUAUACCUCAACCUGGGCUUUUGUUAGAGGGAAAAGAUAUAGAGAUAUUAGGUUAUCAAUGAUGUCUAAGAAUUACAGUGGGUGCAGGAAAUAUAGACUCCUCGAAUCUUUUUUAAUUGAGGCUUUUAUUUGUGUAUGUGGCUAUGUGAUGUGCUUACAUAUACAUAAUUUCAUUAAAGAAAGAGUUACGGAAAUUUUACCCAGGAUGACCAACUAGAAGCAUUUUAUAUGUCCUUCAAAAUUGUUCUCUCCCACUGCUCACCAUUUUGCCCCCAAGUGACAUCUUUUUGCAAAAUGGAUUAGAAAGCCCUUAUCUAAGAGGGAGAGGUUGGCAUCUUCAGUGAAGUUACUCACUUUAAAGCAAAUACAUGUUUCUACAUGUAUUUAAGAGGGUUGGGUGUGUGAGUCACCUACUUUUAAUCAAUUAUGUUCAUGGAAUUUCUCAUUCCCAAUAGUAUUGUCUUGAACUUGAAUAGGUUUUUUUUUCUAUGCAAAAAAUAUCCAAUGGUACAUUAUUCCACAUUUUCUAAGAAUACUAACUAGUGUCAUAUAUUCUCUUCCAGACUGGAAGACAAUUUAAACUUCAAGCAGUAUUGACUUACCUAUGAAUCACUUAGUAUAUAUGAGCUUCUCAGAGAAGAAAUCAUAAACAUUGAGAGUUGCCAUGCAUAAUGAUGACCUUCAACACAUAUGAAGAAAUUACCCAGAUCAGCAUUUCCCCAUCUUUCAUGGAAUAAAAGAGAAAUCACCAAGGAUUGGAAGUUGGCUGAUAGAACUGACAUCAGAAAGACCAUUCAAAACGAACAGCCAGUGUCAAGAUCCUGUAUACCCUUCCUGCCAUUACUCCCAAAGUAGCCUUUUCAUGGAUCCAGGUAACACUUGAGCCCUCAAUCCAAGAUUGAAAACAUCUGCUAGAGAAAUUGUCAAAGAGUCUUUGAACACUUAGUCGAAUUCACAGGGACUCCAUCUGGGACUGGUGAUACUUGCUGCUUUUGUAUCUUUAAUUGUUUCUAGCACCUCCAUAGAUCAAAGUUCUCCUGUAAUGUGUUCUUUCCAUCAUGCCAUAUUUACCCAUUUUAUAUCAAAAUAUAUAAUCUUUACCAUCUGGUUUCAUAAGGGAAUAUAAAUCUUUAUCAAACUAGAUUAACAUUAAGUAACAAUUUUCAUCUAUGUGUGACUGUAUUUUGUUGUUAUCUGCAAAUUUCAGAAAAUAAUCCCCUCUUUCAUGGCAUACUUUAAAUUUAGAAACAAGCUUCCUGGGUUUUUCUAACUAUGGAGUAUUUUUACAUGUUUCAUUGUUCCUGAAUUUCAACGUUCAAAGAAAGUAAUUUUUAAAA